ACUUCGUCUAAGAUCUAAUGAGCUUAAGCUGGAGAAAGAAUUGGAGAAGUCACAAGCUGAAAUGUCUUCUUACAAAAAGAAAAUCGCAAGCCUUGAAAAAGAUCGUCAAGAUCUGCAAUCAACAAUCGAUGCUUUAAAGGAAGAAAAGAAGCUCUUGCAAUCCAAAUUCCUAAUAGCUUCUGCUAAUGGAAAGUCAGUUGAUCCUAGCAGGAAUAUGCCUACAAAAAUAGAUGUAUCAACUUCUACAGAGGAUCUCCGUGAAGAUAAUAUUGCAAGUGGCACCAUAAAUGAUACUAAUUUGGUUGGUAUUGAUGGCCCCACCACAUCUUCCCUGCCCGAUUUUGGACAGUUUAGUCUCGGAAGUUUGUCACCAGCCAUUCCUCCAGAUCAGAUUAGGAUGAUCCAAAACAUUAAUACAUUAAUUUCUGAGUUAGCCUUGGAGAAAGACGAAUUAACAAAAGCCCUGUCAGUUGAAUCAUCUCAGUGCUCUACAUUGAAGGAGUUAAACAAGGACUUAACUCGGAAGCUUGAAGUUCAAACACAAAGAUUGGAGCUUUUAACUGCUCAAAGCAUGGCAAAUGAUAACAGCCAAGCAAGACAACCAGAUGCGGUAUCUGUACAUGACAAUAUGCCAUAUUCUGAUGAGAAUAUGCCAUAUGCUGAUGAAGGAGAUGAGGUGGUGGAACGGGUAUUGG
rnacentral:misc_RNA from 1 species